rnacentral:misc_RNA from 1 species
AAUCCAAACUCCCCUCUUCCCCUGCAAAAAGUAAACUAAAAGGCAUUUCAGUACUAUAACAAUUAGCUAUCAACUCAAACUGCCUAGUAAAUUAGUAAAUAUCUAAUUAAGCACAAAAAAAGAUAUAUCCAGUUAACACAUUAACUCAUAGCCAUGUUUAGAGAAAGUUGUACUAGAGCAACAAACACCUGUUGCCUCCACAGUGAUAUUG